rnacentral:rRNA from 1 species
AUGCAAGUCGACGCAGUAGCAAUACUGAGUGGCAAACGGGUGAGUAUAAUGUGGGAAUCUGCCUUUUGGUUUGGAAUAACACGAGGAAACUUGUGCUAAUACCGGAUAAGUCUUUCCGGAGAAAGCUUUAUGCACCAUUGAAUGAGCCUGCACUUGAUUAGUUUGUUGGUAGGGUAAUGGCCUACCAAGACUGUGAUCAAUAGCUGAUUUGAGAGGAUGAUCAGCCACAUUGGGACUGACACACGGCCCAAACUCCUACGGGAGGCAACACUGGGGAAUCUUGCACAAUGUAGGAAACUCUGAUGCAGCGAUGCCGCGUGAGUGAAGAAGGCCCUUGCCUUGUAAAGCUCUUUCCUCGGGGAAGAAAAUGACUGGACCCGAAUAAUAAGGCCCGGCUAACUUCGUGCCAUCACCCGCGGUAAUACGAAGGGACCUAGCGUAAUUCGGAAUUACUGCGCUUAAAGAGUUCGUACGCGGUUGAAAAAGUUGGUGGUGAAAUCCCAGAGCUUAACUCUGGAACUGCCAUCAAAACUUUUCAGCUAGAGUAUGAUAGAGGAAAGCAAAAUUUCUAGUGUAGAGGUGAAAUUCGUAGAUAUUAAAAAGAAUACCAAUUGCGAAGGCCGCUUUCUGGAUCAUUACAGACACUGAUGAACGAAAGCAUGGGUAGCGAAAAGGAUUAGAUACCCUCUUAGUCCAUGCCGUAAACGAUGCGUGUUAGACGUUGGAAAUCUAUUUUCAGUGUCGCAGCGAAAGCGAUAAACACACCGCCUGGUGAGUACGACCGCAAGAUAAAACUCAAAUGAAAUGACGAGUACCCGCAAAGUAGUGUAGCAUGUGUUUAAUUCUACAUACGCGCAGAAUCUUACCAACACUUGACAUGAUACGUCGCGACUUUAAGAGAUUAAAGUUAUCAGCUCUGCGGGACGAAACACAGUGCUGCAUGGCUGAUCGUCAGCUCGUGUCGAGACAUGUGAGUUAAGUCCCGCAACGAGCGCUACCCUCGACUUGACUGUCAUCAUUAGCUUGGGGCCUCUGAAGAACUCGCGAUGAAAGCUCGCAGAAAAGAGGGGGAUGACCCCAGACCUCAUGGGCCCUACAGAGGUGGGGUUGAAAAACAGUCGUU